UUAAAUUGAAGAGUUUGAUCAUGGCUCAGAUUGAACGCUGGCGGCAGGCUUAACACAUGC
rnacentral:rRNA from 1 species